GAUGAAGAACGUAGCGAAAUGCGCUAAGUAAUGUGAAUUGCAGAAUUCAGUGAAUCAUCGAAUCUUUGAACGCACAUUGCGCCCGCCAGCAUUCUGGCGGGCAUGCCUGUUCGAGCGUCAUUUCAACCCUCAAGCUCUGCUUGGUGUUGGGGCCCUACGUCUGACGUAGGCCCUCAAAGACAGUGGCGGACCCUCUCGGAGCCUCCUUUGCGUAGUAACUAACGUCUCGCACUGGGAUUCGGAGGGACUCUUGCCGUAAAACCCCCAAUUUUUACAGGUUGACCUCGGAUCAGGUAGGAAUACCCGCUGAACUUAAGCAUAUCAAUAAGCGGAGGA
rnacentral:misc_RNA from 1 species